AGUGUCAAGUACUCUGUGUGUCUUACGACAUUCUAGUACACUUCUUAUUUUUGAUAAAUAAUGGGUAAGCACAUAGACUGUUUUUAAAUGCCGUCUUAUCCACUAUGUGUGCGGGAUCAUCGCCAUUUCCCAUAAGCUCUAUCUCGAUCUUAUUGCCCGUCUGUACAAGCAGCUGUUCAUCGGAAAUAUUACGCUGCACUUCUUCCACACCCAAGAUGGACAGCGUUCGAGACCGAGAUGGUAGCCUCUUCCGACCAACCACUUGAACUGAAAGCUUUCGAAAUUUAUUGUUUUCAUAGUCCAACCAUAAGUCCAGAACGUGCUGCUUUGUGAGACUAUUCUACGUUUGUAUUUGCUCUUCCUUGCGAUUAAAGAAGUACUCCGCAUUAA